rnacentral:rRNA from 1 species
UGGGGAAUAUUGGACAAUGGGCGAAAGCCUGAUCCAGCAACGCCGCGUGAGGGAUGACGGCCUUCGGGUUGUAAACCUCUUUCAGCGGGGACGAAGCGAAAGUGACGGUACCCGCAGAAGAAGCACCGGCCAACUACGUGCCAGCAGCCGCGGUAAUACGUAGGGUGCGAGCGUUGUCCGGAAUUAUUGGGCGUAAAGGGCUCGUAGGCGGUUUGUCGCGUCGGGAGUGAAAACUCAGGGCUUAACCCUGAGCCUGCUUCCGAUACGGGCAG